rnacentral:lncRNA from 1 species
GGCCCCGGUUUUUAUCAUGAGCUGUGAUCUAUACAAGUUUCUUCUGUUGUGGCUUUUGAUUUCUCUAUCACUGUCUUUGAGAAAUGCGUGUUUAAAACUUUGCAUUUGGUGACGUUAGUUCGAAGGAUAUUUAGAACACCUAAAGGAUUUCAAGGGCAGCGAUUCAGGCUGCAGCGAGUAUCAUCCCUAGCUAUAUAUGGUGACAAAACCUGAAGAGAGACUAGUGAAAGUGCGGAGACCCUUCGAGGUAGCGUAUGCUAGCGUUGCUUCUUCGUUAGAGUUUCUGCGCAUUCACGGACCACCACAUUUGUCCACCUCUUAGUCUUAGUCUUACACAGCUUCGCAUGAGAUGAAGAAUGGGAGGUUAAUAGUUUCCUUAAUAGGCCACUGGCACAUGAAGGCUUGAGCAGCACCUCGGCUGCCUUCUGAUACAUUGACUGAUUAGGCUGGCAUUCGAGUAUUACGAAACAAUGCGAUAGUUUGUGGGUUAGGAUUUCCUCACCUGAAUCGGAAUUUCGAGGUACAAGAACGGCGUUACGGGAGUGCUACAUUGGGCAACAGAGGGUUAAGAUCUCUUCGUAAAGUGGUGCAGCGACUGGCGCGUUAAGUUGACACGCAUUGUUUUAUCUCAGCUUCACCGGCAGAUGUGGCCAAGACACCUGCUGACCCGGAGCCUCAGAGGGAAGUGGACGCUGCCCCUUCCCCCCGUAUCGAAACCCCCUUCGGCAGUGACAGUAACUCUGUCGACGGGACUCCUGCUACGGUGAACAAAAAUAGCACCAUUGUUCUUGUGCCGGGCGACACCGGUGUUCUGCCGGUAACCAUCAAGCAGGAGCCUUUGGAGGAGCAUGAAUCUGAACAGAUUGAAGAGCAGGAGGAAGAGCAUCCCUGCUGUACCAUGUCCAAGCAAGCCGAGGGUGACGGUGCAGAGUUGGACGACGACUUGACCACAUGUUCUGUCUGUGGUGAACCGUUCGGAGCAAAUCAUCUGUUGAGGCGUGCGGCCUAUCAUGCAGAGCAUCGACUGUCUUAUGUGUGCCACCUGUGUCCGUCAAGGUUUGGCAGUCAGCACCUGCUUGUGCAGCACUUGAAACAACACCGCGCCAACCACUAGCAUAGGCAGCUGCUGUCUGAAAGCAGACACCCUUUAAACUCCAUCGACCUGAAGGGCUGCGGGAGUUCCAUGAGCAUCGAGGAAUGAUAUGAAUGCGAUACCUCCUGUGAUUGCACCGAACGGUGCCCUACACCCACUGUUCUCAUUGGUUGACCUGAUAAAUGAUUGAAUAAAUAAAGUUUGGUGUUGAUGGAUGAUGCUUUGGUGGCAGACAGUUGUCUAGGGCUGCUGCUGUGAAGAGAUCUGCGACAUUGUGAAGCAGUUAGAAAUGUGCAGUAGCACUCGAUAUCAGUUGCAACAAGGUGGCCAUGGUUGGAGGGGCCCCAAGCUCCCACUGUAACAACGGCAAACAUGAAAUGGGCUUUGGAAAUACCAAAAGCCGAAAGAGGGUUUGUGUCACUGAUUGUUUCCUAUGUCGGCGCCACUGGGCCGUGUGACGCCGCUUUGACCAUGGGCAGCAUGUUGCAACUCAUACUGGGUGCGACUGUACAUGUGAACAUUCAUUCGUUGCUAAUAAAAGCGAAUGAUCUUCAUCCUUAA